GGAAUCUUCCACAAUGGGCGAAAGCCUGAUGGAGCAAUACCGCGUGAGUGAAGAAGGUCUUCGGAUCGUAAAGCUCUGUUGUUAGAGAAGAAUAAGAGGUGUAGUAACUGGCACCUCCUUGACGGUAUCUAACCAGAAAGUCACGGCUAAAUACGUGCCAGCAGCCGCGGUAAUACGUAGGUGACAAGCGUUGUCCGGAUUUAUUGGGCGUAAAGCGAGCGCAGGCGGUCUUUUAAGUCUGAUGUGAAAGCCCACGGCUCAACCGUGGAUGGUCAUUGGAAACUGGAAGACUUGAAUGCAGAAGAGGAAAGUGGAAUUCCAUGUGUAGCGGUGAAAUGCGUAGAUAUAUGGAGGAACACCAGUGGCGAAGGCGACUUUCUGGUCUGUAAUUGACGCUGAGGCUCGAAAGCGUGGGGAGCAAACAGG
rnacentral:rRNA from 1 species